AUGAACGCUGGCGGCGUGCUUAACACAUGCAAGUCGAACGAUGAAGGAGGAGCUUGCUCCUCUGGAUUAGUGGCGAACGGGUGAGUAACACGUGAGCAAUCUGCCCCUGACUCUGGGAUAAGCGUUGGAAACGACGUCUAAUACCGGAUACGAGCUGAGAAGGCAUCUUCAGCAGCUGGAAAGAACUUCGGUCAGGGAUGAGCUCGCGGCCUAUCAGGUAGUUGGUGAGGUAAUGGCUCACCAAGCCUACGACGGGUAGCCGGCCUGAGAGGGUGACCGGCCACACUGGGACUGAGACACGGCCCAGACUCCUACGGGAGGCAGCAGUGGGGAAUAUUGCACAAUGGGCGAAAGCCUGAUGCAGCAACGCCGCGUGAGGGACGAAGGCCUUCGGGUCGUAAACCUCUUUUAGCAGGGAAGAAGCGAAAGUGACGGUACCUGCAGAAAAAGCACCGGCUAACUACGU
rnacentral:rRNA from 1 species